UACAGAGGGUGCAAGCGUUAAUCGGAUUUACUGGGCGUAAAGCGCGCGUAGGUGGCCAAUUAAGUCAAAUGUGAAAUCCCCGAGCUUAACUUGGGAAUUGCAUUCGAUACUGGUUGGCUAGAGUAUGGGAGAGGAUGGUAGAAUUCCAGGUGUAGCGGUGAAAUGCGUAGAGAUCUGGAGGAAUACCGAUGGCGAAGGCAGCCAUCUGGCCUAAUACUGACACUGAGGUGCGAAAGCAUGGGGAGCAAACAGGAUUA
rnacentral:rRNA from 1 species